GCCGCAAGGGCGAGUAACCGGCGAACGGGUGCGUAACACGUGGACAACUUCCUCGAUGACGGGAUAACUGGCCGAAAGGCUUGCUAAUACCGGAUAAGCCCCCGGACUCUUCGGAGCGAGAGGGAAAAGACGGCUCUGCAAGCAAGCUGUCACAUCGAGAUGGGUCCGGGCCCAUCAGCUAGUUGGCGGGGUAACGGCCACCAAGGCAACGACGGGUAGCUGGUCUGAGAGGAUGAUCAGCACACUGGAACUGAGACACGGUCAGACUCCUACGGGAGGCAGCAGUGGGGAAUCUUGCGCAAUGGGCGAAAGCCUGACGCAGCAACGCCCGCGUGUGUGAUGAAGGUCUUCGGAUCGUAAAGCACUGUCGCGAGGGAAGACGAGCCGGGGCCCUAAA
rnacentral:rRNA from 1 species